GGUUCAGAACGUCGUGAGACAGUUUGGUCCCUAUCUGCCGUGGGUGUUGGAAACUUGAGAGGAUCUGUCCUUAGUACGAGAGGACCGGGAUGGACAUACCUCUGGUGGACCUGUUGUGGCGCCAGCCGCAUUGCAGGGUAGCUAUGUAUGGACGGGAUAAAUGCUGAAUGCAUCUAAGCGUGAAACCCACCUCAAAACCAGGUUUCCCUUGAGAGCCGUCGUAGACUACGACGUCGAUAGGCCAGGUGUGGAAGUGCGGCGACGCAUGGAGCUUACUGGUACUAAUUGCUCGAUUGGCUUGAUC
rnacentral:rRNA from 1 species